CCCUAUGGGGUGCAGCAGCUGAGGAAAUUUUACAAUGCUCGAAAGAGUGAUAGAAUGAACCAGAGUGUUAAUCUUAGAUUAACUUUUGUCUGCUGUAAAAAGGCAGACGAAUAAGGACUGGGUAAGACCGGUGCCAGCCGCCGCGGUAAUACCGGCGGUCCGAGUCGCAUCCACAUUUAUUGGGUCUAAAACAUCCGUAGCUUGUUAUGUAAGUCUCUCGUGAAAUCUCAUGUCUCAAGCAUGAGGCGUGCAAGAGAUACUGCAUUACUAGAGACCAGAAGACGUAAGGAGUAUGAUUGAGGUAGCGGUAAAAUGUGUUAAUCUUAAUCAGACUAACAAUGGCGAAGGCACCUUACGAGUAUGGAUCUGACAGUGGGGGAUGAAGGCUAGGGGCGCAAAACGGAUUAGAUACCCGUGUAGUCCUAGCAGUAAACACUGCCCACUAAACAUCGGUGCCUCCUCGAGAGGCGUCGGUGCUGUAGAGAAGUCGAAGAGUGAGCUACCUGGGAAGUAUAGUCGCAAGGCCGAAACUUAAAGGAAUUGGCGGGGAGGCACUACAACCGGUGACGCGUGCGGUUUAAUUAGAGUAUACACCGUGAAUCUCACCAGGAGCGACAGCAGAAUGAAGGUCAGUCUAAAGGGCUUACCUGACGCGCUGAGAGGAAGUGCAUGGCCAAGGCGAUUU
rnacentral:rRNA from 1 species